CUUUAAAAGCACAAACAUCCAAUUUGGCUGCGUGUAAUAAAAAUCAGUCGGGGCUCCUUAAGCGGUACCAUUCGGCGGCGUUUGUUGAAGGCAGUGUCUUGUUCUGGACGCAGUUUGUGCUCAGAGCAGGAGCGAUUCGAUCCAUUCGCAGGGAGGGAGAAAUGAAACUAGAGGCUCGAUUAGAACGAAGCAAAAUCCAGAGUAAAUUCAGCCCGUUUGGGAGCUGGCGAAGCCCAAGGACCCCAUAACCCAGAACAAAGGACUCUUCUAACAUGCUUUAAGGUGGAUCAGGCGACAGCGGAAAAGCUGAAUUGCCGAACAGAUUUGUUUGCUGCGUGGAAGAACGAAUCCCGCAACAACCCAGACCCCGCAACCCGCUGGCGUGCUGGAAGGAUCCGUUCCGCUGCAGUUCUACGUUUUGUUACAACCCUCGGCUUGAAUUCAGCUCCCUGGACCUGAGGAAACCAGCUCCUCGCCUCAGCACUUUUUUCCUGCCCUAAAUGAUUUUUUUAAGUCACCAAAAUCAUCGCUUGAUUGUUUUUUUUUGGGGGGGGGGGAGAAAAACGAGCACAUACCUGGCAA